GACGAACGCUGGCGGCGUGCUUAACACAUGCAAGUCGAACGGAAAGGCCCUGCUUUUGUGGGGUGCUCGAGUGGCGAACGGGUGAGUAACACGUGUGUAACCUGCCCUUGACUUUGGGAUAACUUCAGGAAACUGGGGCUAAUACCGGAUAGGAGCUCCUGCUGCAUGGUGGGGGUUGGAAAGUUUCGGCGGUUGGGGAUGGACUCGCGGCUUAUCAGCUUGUUGGUGGGGUAGUGGCUUACCAAGGCUUUGACGGGUAGCCGGCCUGAGAGGGUGACCGGCCACAUUGGGACUGAGAGACGGCCCAGACUCCUACGGGAGGCAGCAGUGGGGAAUAUUGCACAAUGGGCGGAAGCCUGAUGCAGCAACGCCGCGUGCGGGAUGACGGCCUUCGGGGUGUAAACCGCUUUCGCCUGUGACGAAGCGUGAGUGACGGUAAUGGGUAAAGAAGCACCGGCUAACUACGUG
rnacentral:rRNA from 1 species